rnacentral:tRNA from 1 species
AGCUGCCUGAUGUAGUGGUUGGAGCACUGGACUGUGACUCUGGAGACCAGGGUUCGAAUCCUUGCUCAGCCA